GCACUGGAACUAGGAAACAUAACAAAACUGAGCCAAAACGUAAGCUCCAUGUAAAAACAAGACCUGACACAUUAACAAGUUAAACACAAGGGCUUAUAUACCGCAUAUAUAUACCACCUCCCCUCUCCCGUCAUGCCAAAGGACACCAAAAUAAGUUUUGAAAAACUGUUUCGGCCUGGAUUACACUGUAAAAACUCCAACUUGCAAAUUGUUCACUCAGUUUAAAAAUGUAAGUCAAGUGGACACAUUUUUAAGCAAAAUGUUGAGUUUACACAUAAAAACAAGUUAACUCAAUGUUUACUAUAUUUUUUUCAAUGAACACAAAUAAGAAAGUUGAGCAAACUCAGUAUUUUUAUUUCUUCAUUUGAGCGGUCAACUUGACAUUAUUGCCUAUGCGCAAAGUGCCGUCGCUGAACUAUACACGGAGUUUACUGCUUCAAAUAUAAACAACCAUGGCAAAGGGAGUGGAUGUCUUCUUUUAAGGACACAAAGCCAGAGGAUGUCCACACCAAGGGUAUGAAGAUGAGCAUCUUAACUAUUACUGGAAGAUGAUGUUGUCAUCCAUUCAACCCUAAAGUGUAUGAGUUGAAAGUGGGCCUGGGUUCUGGGGCAAUGGAGGAACAGGACACCACAGAGGUGCCAGGGGAGCAGGAAACCACCACAGAGAAGGAGAUCACCAGAGGAGAGAAGGAGACCACAGGGAUGCUGGCAGAUCAGAGUACCACAGCAGGGAAAAAAAAAAAAACAGCCAGACUACAGAACAUUUUGGUGUAGGCCUUAGUGGUGCUCAUACCUCGCCGAAAGCCUAUGAGUUCAUCUGCUGCAUUCAUUGUUGGUCAGGACUUGUUCAGUAAACUUCAGUGAAUUAAGAAACAUGAAGAAUGCAGGAUCCAAUCUCAGAUUUAAUGUUGUAAAAACAGCAGAAGCACACAAAACACCGGAACAAUGAAAUACAAAUACAACAGAACAGGACAAACCAAAACAAGACAAAAUGAAAAUAAAUGAAACAAAGCAAAACAACAAAACAAACCUCUGAAACAAACAACAAGAUCUGACACAUGAACAAGUGAAACACAUGGAACAAAAAACUAAACAUUAAAAGUCCAUAACACAAGCACAAAUAACAGGACAAUAAAUGUAUAAUUUACAUUAAAUUUUCUGACAUGCUGCUUAGAUGACACACUGACAACAACACCAUAUUCAACCAAAAAUGAAAAAUCUGUAAUUACAUUCACUCCUUCAUACUAUCUAUCUAUCUAAUAAUAAUAAUAAUAAUAAUAAUAAUAAUAAUAAUAAUUACAAUAACUCAAUGUUCAUACCAAGCUCCAAAAAGACAAAACACAACACAAUACUUGGUGGAGCUUGACAUAUUUUUUCACAUAUGUUGUACGUGAACUUUCAUUGUAUAGAAAAGAGAUGAUUUUUUUUUUUUUUUUUUUUUUUUCUGAAAUCGUUGUAUCUGUGUGUGUCAUAUUCAGUUGAAUAAAAAGUGAUGUCAAGGGUUUAUAU